rnacentral:misc_RNA from 1 species
GAUGAAGAACGCAGCGAAAUGCGAUAAGUAGUGUGAAUUGCAGAAUUCAGUGAAUCAUCGAAUCUUUGAACGCACAUUGCGCCCCUCGGUAUUCCGAGGGGCAUGCCUGUUCGAGCGUCAUUAUAACCCUUCAAGCUCAGCUUGGUGUUGGGGCCUGCUGUAACUGGUAGCCCUUAAAAUCAGUGGCAGUGCUAUUAGGCUCUAAGCGUAGUAAUUCUUCUCGCUAUAGUGUGUAGUGAGCGCUUGCCAGAACCCCAAACUUUUAUAUGAUUGACCUCGGAUCAGGUAGGGAUACCCGCUGAACUUAAGCAUAUCAAUAAGCGGAGGA